CCUACGGGUGGCAGCAGUGGGGAAUAUUGGACAAUGGGGGCAACCCUGAUCCAGCCAUGCCGCGUGUGUGAAGAAGGCCCUCGGGUUGUAAAGCACUUUCAGUGAGGAAGAACGCCUGGUGGUUAAUACCCAUCAGGAAAGACAUCACUCACAGAAGAAGCACCGGCUAACUCCGUGCCAGCAGCCGCGGUAAUACGGAGGGUGCGAGCGUUAAUCGGAAUUACUGGGCGUAAAGCGCGCGUAGGUGGCUUGAUAAGCCGGUUGUGAAAGCCCCGGGCUCAACCUGGGAACGGCAUCCGGAACUGUCAAGCUAGAGUGCAGGAGAGGAAGGUAGAAUUCCCGGUGUAGCGGUGAAAUGCGUAGAGAUCGGGAGGAAUACCAGUGGCGAAGGCGGCCUUCUGGACUGACACUGACACUGAGGUGUGAAAGCGUGGGUAGCAAACAGGAUUAGAUACCCUGGUAGUC
rnacentral:rRNA from 1 species